AAUAGAUGACGCCGUUGACUUUUUCUCACAUGUUUGACCAUUCGUCUUAUUCAAAAAAAUUACGUAAUUAUAAUUUAUUUUGUUAUGAGUUCUUUUAUCACUCAUAGUACUUUAAGUGUGAUUUAUAUCUUAUACAUUUAUAUAAAAUUUUUGAAUAAGACGAAUGGUCAAACAUGUGAGAAAAAGUUAACGGCGUCAUCUAUU
rnacentral:pre_miRNA from 1 species